UGGGGGAUAUUGCACAAUGGGGGAAACCCUGAUGCAGCGACGCCGCGUGAGGGAAGACGGUUUUCGGAUUGUAAACCUCUGUCUUUGGGGACGAAUCGAGACGGUACCCAAGGAGGAAGCUCCGGCUAACUACGUGCCAGCAGCCGCGGUAAUACGUAGGGAGCAAGCGUUGUCCGGAAUUACUGGGUGUAAAGGGAGCGUAGGCGGGAUAGUAAGUUGAUUGUUAAAACUAUCGGCUCAACUGAUAGAUGCGAUCAAAACUGCAAUUCUUGAGUGAAGUAGAGGCAGGCGGAAUUCCUAGUGUAGCGGUGAAAUGCGUAGAUAUUAGGAGGAACACCAGUGGCGAAGGCGGCCUGCUGGGCUUUAACUGACGCUGAGGCUCGAAAGUGUGGGUAGCAAACAGG
rnacentral:rRNA from 1 species